AUCACUACUCUAAGAAAAAGGAACGGAAAGACCUGCGGUGGCGCGCGUCCGGUGUUGCUACAAAUAAAAACACGAUGCUCCCAGCGAGGGGCAUCAUCGAGAGACAGUGACCACCACUGCGCUGUACAACCGAACCGUGACGCCAGGGACCAAACGUGCCACCAUGAUCAGCAAGUCCUUCCUGGUUGCCAUCGUUGUGCUAGCCGCCAUGUGCAGCCUAGCUGCCGCUCAGUUCGGCUACGGGGGCGGAUUCAACCGCGGCUAUGGAGGCUUCAACCGUGGAUACGGGGGAGGCUACGGCGGUGGCUUUAACCGCGGAUACGGAGGCGGCUAUGGCGGAGGUUUCAACCGUGGAUACGGAGGAGGCUAUGGUGGCUUCGGCCGUUGAUUCAGCAAAGAAUCGUGAAGCCGAACGCAUGGAUUGCGCACCUGACAGAGGUUAGGCAACACGGGAUGGACCGAUGACGUAUUUCUGCAAUAUGGAAGAAGUAAUAAACUUGUUUGCGCCUGCUGUUU